rnacentral:lncRNA from 1 species
CUCAAACUCCCUGCACCUUAGACUAGGCAGCUGAGAGAAGCCCCUAGAAAAGCUCAUUUUUAAUUUUGAACCAUAAAGAAUUAUAUACUAACUGUGCCAUGAAACUGAUAUAUUAGAGGAAAAUUUUAUUUGGCGUUUGUAAUUUAAUAUUAAUUUUGACCAUUUUUAGGCUUCCCUCUUGUCUGGAGGAAAAAGAAAAAAGAGAACCAGACUUAGACACAACUUCUUGUGGGCACAUAUUCAGAAGGCAUCUCACUGGAGAGGGUUUAGUUCUCCUUAGCAGAAGAUAAGAUUUCAAGAUUUCAGCUAAGACUCAUCUCUCUGCAAAUCUUUCUUUUGAGAGGAAGAACACACUUAGUGGUACAGCUUGGUGAGUUUUGAUAUGCACACAUGCAUGUAACUACCACUCCGGAUCAAGAUGAUAAGGAACAUCCCUAUCACUUCAGAAGGUGCCUUUUGCUCCACCCAGAGCAUCUUCACCAGGAGGAGAUUCCAUCUCAAGAGACCACUUUCACUGCUCAUAUGUAAGAAGCAACUCUUCAUCUGUUCAAGUUUGAUCAUGAGAGUGCGGCAAUUCAGUCACAACUUCAGGCUCCACUUCUAGUUCUAGUUCUCUUGCUGUUUCCACCACAUCUACAGCGACUUCCUCCACUGAAGACGUGAACCCCUGAAAGUCAUCUAUGGGGGUUGGAAUCAAUGUCUUUCACACUCCUGUUAAUGUUGGUAUUUUGACCUCCUCCCAUGAAUUACAAAUGUUCCUAAUGGCAUCUAGAAUAAUGACUACUUUCCAGAAGCUUUUCAAUUUGCUUUGCUCAGAUCCAUCAAUGGAAUCACUAUCAAUGGUAGCUAUAUAAACUAUAUAAGGCUAUAUAUAUAUAUAUAGCUAUUUCUUAAUAGCCUUAUGAAAUAUAUUUCUUAAUAAGACUUGAAAGUCUUGGUCCAUGGACUGCAGAAUGGAUGUUUGUGUUAGCAGGGAUGAAAACAACAUGAAUAUUCUCGUACAUCUCCAACACAGCUCUUGAUCGACAUGGUGCAGAGCAGUAAUAUUUUGAAAGGAAUCUUUUUUUCUGAGCAAUAGUUCUCAAUAGUGGGCUUGAAAUAUUCAGUAAACCAUGCUGUAAACAGAUGUGUUGUCAUCCAGGCUUUAUUGUUCCAUUUAUGGAGCACAGAUAGAGUAGAUUUCGCAUAAUUCUUAAUGACACCAGGAUUUACAAAAUAGUAAAUGAACAUUUACUUCAACUUAAAGUCAUCAGCUGCAUUCACCUCUAAAAAGAGAGUCAGCCUGUCCUGUGGAGCUUUGCAGCUUGCCUUGACAUCUCCUCUCUAGCUGUGAAAGUCCUGGAUGGCAUCUUCUUCCAACAUAAGACUGUUUUGUCUACACUGAAAAUCUGUUGUUUCGUGUAGACACUUUCAUCAAUUAUCUUAUCUAGAUUUUCUGGAUAACUUGCCACAGCUUCUCCCUUUGCACUUGCUGCUUCAUCUUGCAUUUUUAUGUUAUGGAGAUGUUGUCUUUCAUUAAACCUCACAAACCAACCUCCGCUAGCUUCAAACUUUUCUUCUGCAGCUUCCUCACCUCUCUCCGCCUUCAUAGCAUUGAAGAGAGUUAGAGUCUUGCUCUGGAUUAGGCUUUGACUUAAGGAAAUGUUGUGGCUGGUUGGAUCUUUUCUCCAGACCACUCAAACUUUCUCCAUAUUAGCAAUAUGGCUGCUUUGUUUUCUCUUCAUUUGCAUGUUCCCUGGAGUAGAGCUUAAAUAUCCUUCAAGAACUUUUCCUGUGAAGUCGCAAUUUGGCUAACUGGUGCAGAGGUGAGCUUUUGGCCUUGACUUUCAAUAUGUCCUCCUUACUAAGCUUAAUCAUUUCUAGAUUUUGAUUUAAAGUGAGAGACGUGGGACUUUUCCCUUCACUUGAACACUUAGAGGCCAUUGUAGGGUUAUUAAUUGGCUUAAUUUCAAUAUUAUUGUGUCUUGGGCUGGGCACAGUGGCUCAUGCCUGUAAUCCCAGCCCUUUGGGAAGCUGAGGCAGGUGGAUUGUUUGAGUCUAGGAGUUUAAGGCCAGCCUGGGCAACAUGGCAAAACCCUGUCUCUCCUAAAAAUACAAAAAAAAAAUUAGCCGGGUGUGAUGGUGCACACCUGUAGUCCCAGCUUGGGAGGCUGAAGUGGGAGAAUCACCUGAGCCUGGGGAGGCAGAGGUUGCAGUGAGCUGAAAUCACAUCAUUGCACUCCAGCCUGGGCAAUCAGAGUGCGACUCUGCCUCAAAAAAAAAAUAUAUAUAUAUAUAUAUAUAAUUGUUAUAAAUAUAUAUAUAUAUAAUUGUUAUAUAUACAUUAUUGUGUCUCAGGAACAGGCAGUCCAUGGAGCAGUCAGAACACACACAACAUUUAUUGAUUGUUUGCCAUCUUACAUGGGUGCACUUCAUGGUGCCCCAAAACAACUACAAUAGUGACAUCAAAGAUCACUGAUCACAGAUUACCAUAACAGAUAUAGAAAUAAUGACAAAGUUUGAAAUAUUGGGAGAAUUACCAAAAUGUGACACAGAGAUGUAAAACAAGCACAUGCUGUUGGAAAAACAGCACCAAUAGACUUGCUCGAGGCAGGGUUGCCACAAACCUUCAAUUUGUAAACAACAACAACAACAACAAAAACAAUAUCUGUAAAGCACAAUAAGACAAGGUAUGUCUAUAUUUGCCCUUUUUCCUAACACUCCUCUCCCACUUCUCAAUGCUAGUCCAUGCCUAGAAGAGGGAGGUACAAGAAUUCCCCACAAGGUAGACCACUAGGCACGUGCUGUGGAGGAUGGAGCAGGAGGGGACAUAGGGACAGAAUGCACCCCCUCCUCUAGGCAGGGCCCUCCAGAAUCCAGUCAACCCUAAGGCCCCAUUGAAACAAUGACUGGAGAGAAAUGAAAUAAUUUCAUAUUGUGAGCUGAUUACAUUAGGAUGUGUUAUAAGGGAUAGUAUGAAAUAAGAUGUUAGUCCAUGCCCUUACCCUUGCUUGCUGAGCUGCUGGGCCUGCAGAGCCUUUCAGGUGCUGGGAGGGAGAGGUUUUUCCCAGCAUAACCCUCGGCUCACAUCUCACUGUGGCUCCAGGCUGGGGCUGCCAAGGCCGGACCUUGCAUUACAGGACUCUGUUUACACACACACACACACACACACACACACACACACACACACACACACAGAGUGCCGAAGUGGCAAUGUCUGAAGAAAUUUCCAGCCUCAUUCCUCCCAUGCCUGGAACCAAUCUCUUCUCCUCAAUUCAUGCACUGUCUUCCAGAGGUCAGCUCACCAGCCCAUACUCCUUCUGUCACAGUGUGGCCCCUCUGGGUGGCCCUUGGUGGUUUUUCCUGUGGGCUAAUCUCACCUGAAGCCUUUUCAAUUUGUCAGGGAAGUUUUCAUAAUGAGCAAAAACAAAAGAGGAAGGAAGGAUGGGCUCUUGAAGGUUUACUUUCUGGAGGCUUCGGGGCCUCUUUGCAAAAUGCUCCAACCUCCCCAGCUGCUGGGGAUAUCACAGAUCAAGGGAGGUGGCAUGGGGUGGGCUAUGCCAAGACCCUUCCUUACCAAAAAGUCUUCAGACACUCAUCCCUCAGAAUGAUGAUGAGGGAUCAUCAUCUUCCACCUGCUUAACUCGAACAGCCUACUCAAAUGUCCCCAGAAUAAACGAGACUUGAG